AAAUUGAAGAGUUUGAUCAUGGCUCAGAUUGAACGCUGGCGGCAGGCCUAACACAUGCAAGUCGAACGGUAACAGGAAGCAGCUUGCUGUUUCGCUGACGAGUGGCGGACGGGUGAGUAAUGUCUGGGAAACUGCCUGAUGGAGGGGGAUAACUACUGGAAACGGUAGCUAAUACCGCAUAACGUCGCAAGACCAAAGAGGGGGACCUUCGGGCCUCUUGCCAUCGGAUGUGCCCAGAUGGGAUUAGCUAGUAGGUGGGGUAACGGCUCACCUAGGCGACGAUCCCUAGCUGGUCUGAGAGGAUGACCAGCCACACUGGAACUGAGACACGGUCCAGACUCCUACGGGAGGCAGCAGUGGGGAAUAUUGCACAAUGGGCGCAAGCCUGAUGCAGCCAUGCCGCGUGUAUGAAGAAGGCCUUCGGGUUGUAAAGUACUUUCAGCGGGGAGGAAGGGAGUAAAGUUAAUACCUUUGCUCAUUGACGUUACCCGCAGAAGAAGCACCGGCUAACUCCGUGCCAGCAGCCGCGGUAAUACGGAGGGUGCAAGCGUUAAUCGGAAUUACUGGGCGUAAAGCGCACGCAGGCGGUUUGUUAAGUCAG
rnacentral:rRNA from 2 species